rnacentral:rRNA from 1 species
GUGAACGCUGGCGGUAGGCCUAACACAUGCAAGUCGAACGGCAGCACAGUAAGAGCUUGCUCUUACGGGUGGCGAGUGGCGGACGGGUGAGGAAUACAUCGGAAUCUACUUUUUCGUGGGGGAUAACGUAGGGAAACUUACGCUAAUACCGCAUACGACCUACGGGUGAAAGCAGGGGAUCUUCGGACCUUGCGCGAUUGAAUGAGCCGAUGUCGGAUUAGCUAGUUGGCGGGGUAAAGGCCCACCAAGGCCACGAUCCGUAGCUGGUCUGAGAGGAUGAUCAGCCACACUGGAACUGAGACACGGUCCAGACUCCUACGGGAGGCAGCAGUGGGGAAUAUUGGACAAUGGGCGCAAGCCUGAUCCAGCCAUACCGCGUGGGUGAAGAAGGCCUUCGGGUUGUAAAGCCCUUUUGUUGGGAAAGAAAAGCAGCAGGUUAAUACCCCGCUGUUCUGACGGUACCCAAAGAAUAAGCACCGGCUAACUUCGUG